CAGUCGCCGCGGGAAUACGUAGGGGGCUAGCGUUGUUCGGAUUUACUGGGCGUAAAGGGCGCGUAGGCGGGCGAAUAAGCCAGGGGUGAAAUCCCAAGGCUCAACCUUGGAACUGCCUUUGAUACUGUUUGUCUUGAGUUCGAGAGAGGUAAGUGGAACUGCGAGUGUAGAGGCGAAAUUCGUCGAUAUUCGCAAGAACACCAGUGGCGAAGGCGGCUUACUGGCUCGAAACUGACGCUGAGGCGCGAAAGCGUGGGGAGCAAACAGGAUUAGAUACCCCUGUAGUCCCUGUCUCUUAUAA
rnacentral:rRNA from 1 species